CGGUGGAGCAUGUGGUUUAAUUGAUGCAACGGAAGAACCUUACCUGGUCUUGACAUGUGAGAACUUUCCAGAGAUGGAUUGGUGCCUUGGGAACUUGAACACAGGUGUGCAUGGCUGUGUCAGCUGUGUGUGAGAUGUUGGGUUAAGUCCCGCAACGAGCGCAACCCUUGUCCUUAGUUGCCAGCAGUAAUGGUGGGAACUUUAAGGAGACCGCCGGUGACAAACCGGAGGAAGGUGGGGAUGAGUCAAGUAUCAUGGCCCUUACGACCAGGGUACCCGUAUCAAUGGUAGGGACAGAGGGUGCAAACCCGGAGGGCAAGCCAAUCCAGAAACCCUAUUCGUCCGAUGGGUUGCAACUGCUCCAGAAUUGGAAUCGCUAUUCGCUUAC
rnacentral:rRNA from 1 species